AUGUGGUGAUGAAUUUACAGACACACACUAACACACACACACACACACACAAACAGACACACAGCCUUAUUCUUCUCAGAGAAGCACUUUCCUCACAUCAGUUCUUCGCGAUGCCUUCACCUGUGCAAACAUUUGGUUUGAUCUUCAUCGGUUUUUAUUGUCAGGUGAGCGCUGUUACUUUUCAACAGUCUCCUCCACAGAUAGUGAAGGAGAACACUGUGGUCCAGAUCGACUGCAGUCACAAUGAUAAUAACCUUCAAGUUAUGCUCUGGUAUCAGCAGACACAGGACCGUCUGUCUUUGAGCCUCAUUGGACUCUCACUGGAGGAAGCUGCGUUUAUUCUGCAGCAGCAGAAACAUGGAGGACUUCUCCAGCUGUGAUUGGAUUUCUCCUGCUCUUACUUCCAUAUCAAACUAAGAGUGUGAGGUUCGGGCCGUC